rnacentral:rRNA from 1 species
UAAUGUAUGGGGAUCUGCCCGAUAGAGGGGAAUAACUACUGGAAACGGUGGCUAAUACCGCAUAAUGUCUACGGACCAAAGCAGGGGCUCUUCGGACCUUGCACUAUCGGAUGAACCCAUAUGGGAUUAGCUAGUAGGUGGGGUAAAGGCUCACCUAGGCGACGAUCUCUAGCUGGUCUGAGAGGAUGAUCAGCCACACUGGGACUGAGACACGGCCCAG